GACACUGUCACCCAAGGAAAGAGGGGGAAAGUGGAGCAACCAACUUCAGUUGCAGCAGAGAAAACUACUGCUCCCCAAACAAUGGCAAUGAACGCUUGCACAUGGACGUAGAUGCUCUGUGUAACUUAGGGCAGGCAACAUGGAAGCAACACAGAAGGAUAUCGUCCACAAUGGCAUUAUAAUGUACCACUUUCCUUUUCUCCUUCACAAAUAACCUGCAGGAAUCCAAGCCAGCUUCUCACACAGAUGACAGAUUCCAGUAAUGGAGCUCAGCACAAGCGACUGGCAGAAGUUACAAGACUUUUUGUGACAUCAGCAAAACUGGCACGUAUCACCUGUACCUGCAGCAAAAGCUCACCUUCACUGUAACAGCAGCUCAGUUAAAGCUACGCAAGCACAGGGAGAGUACGGCGUAGUUCCAAACCAGACUUUCAGAAGAACAUAGAAUUUCUAUUUGAAAGUUUGCUCCUAGAGGGGCAUAAAGAUGUUUUGAAAAAGUCAGCAAGGGGUGUUGUGACAGUUCCUGAGGCUUCACCUGUGUACAACCACCACGCGUAUUAAAGUACCAGCUCCCAAAGCUCUUCACAAAGUAGCAACUAUGUCCUUAAUGAUUAAAAAAUAAUACAUUUGCACGGAAUGAAGACGAUGAGAUACACAUUAUACUGUCAGGGGAAAAAAAAAAAUAAUAACAGCUGCUCUCACUGGCAGUGAAUCUAUGAAACGACGUAAAAGAACAGUCUCUACAAUAUAAUUCUUAAGCUGUGAACAGAAUUUCUCUCAGCUGACAUCCGACACGUUUGACUUUUUGGAACAAAGCCUCAUGAUAUCGCUUUGGGUCAGCACUUUUGCUGAGAUGGACUACUUACCUCUCCCCCCCCCCCCCCCCCUUAAAGAAAAUGUUUGUGAAAAUACUGACAAAAGAAGCACUUCAC
rnacentral:lncRNA from 7 species